rnacentral:rRNA from 1 species
GACGUAGGGCGCGAGCGUUGUCCGGAUUUAUUGGGCGUAAAGAGCUCGUAGGCGGCUUGUCGCGUCGUCCGUGAAAACUUGGGGCUCAACCCCAAGCUUGCGGUCGAUACGGGCAGGCUAGAGUUCGGUAGGGGAGACUGGAAUUCCUGGUGUAGCGGUGGAAAUGACGCAGAUAUCAGGAGGAACACCGGUGGCGAAGGCAGUCUCUGGGCCGUAACUGACGCUGAGGAGCGAAAGCGUGGGGAGCGAACAGG